rnacentral:rRNA from 1 species
GACGUAGGGUGCAAGCGUUGUCCGGAUUUACUGGGCGUAAAGGGCGCGUAGGCGGCCAUCUAAGUCAGACGUGAAAUCCCCCGGCUUAACCUGGGAACUGCGUCUGAUACUGGAAGGCUUGAGUAUGGGAGAGGGAUGUAGAAUUCCAGGUGUAGCGGUGAAAUGCGUAGAUAUCUGGAGGAAUACCGGUGGCGAAGGCGGCAUCCUGGACCAUUACUGACGCUGAGGCGCGAAAGCUAGGGGAGCAAACGGG